rnacentral:tRNA from 1 species
GCCUGGGUGGCUCAGUGGUAGAGCACGUUCUUGGUAAGAACGUGGUCGCGGGUCCGAUUCCCGCCCCAGGCU